GCCUACUGUUUAAUUUUGAAAGUUCUUUACGAACUUUAUAUAUGGGGGUGUAGCUCAGUUGGGAGAGCACUUGCCUUGCAAGCAAGGGGUCAGGAGUUCGACUCUCCUCAUCUCCACCAUUUAAGAGUAUAUUACUUAAAUCUUUGAUUUACUUAGUAGCCUCUUACAAUGCACUUAUAGCUUAAAUUUAUACAAGCUUUGUGUGUUAGCACUUUAAGCAACGGAAUAAACUGAACGCAUGUGAAGUUUGUUUGUUGGCAUUGUGCGUUAGCACUUUGAAAACUGCAUAUAUAUAUUUAGUGAUAUGACAUCUAAUUUGUAAUAUAUAAAGCUGAUAACUUUUAAAAAUUAUCAAGUUGAUAGACUUUAAUCUAUCAAACCUUUUUAACUGGUCAA
rnacentral:tRNA from 1 species